rnacentral:sRNA from 1 species
AUCACUGUCGAAGACCUUGUCGGAGCCGAGCCAGCCGCUCGGCUUGCGGUGGAAAAGCUGCAGG